UACGUAGGGUGCAAGCGUUGUCCGGAAUUAUUGGGCGUAAAGAGCUCGUAGGCGGUCUGUCGCGUCUGCUGUGAAAACUCAGGGCUUAACCCUGAGCUUGCAGUGGGUACGGGCAGACUAGAGUGCGGUAGGGGAGACUGGAAUUCCUGGUGUAGCGGUGAAAUGCGCAGAUAUCAGGAGGAACACCGGUGGCGAAGGCGGUUCUCUGGGCCUGUACUGACGCUGAGGAGCGAAAGCGUGGGGAGCGAACAGG
rnacentral:rRNA from 1 species